rnacentral:rRNA from 1 species
AGAGUUUGAUCCUGGCUCAGAAUCAACGCUGGCGGCGUGCCUAACACAUGCAAGUCGAACGCGAAAGUCCCGCAAGGGAUGAGUAGAGUGGCAAACGGGUGAGUAACACGUGGGUGACCUGCCUUCGAGCGGGGGAUAACGUCCCGAAAGGGACGCUAAUACCGCAUGACAUCCUGCCUUUGAAGAGGUGGAGAUCAAAGCUGGGGAUCGCAAGACCUAGCACUCGAAGAGGGGCCCGCGCCUGAUUAGCUAGUUGGUGGGGUAACGGCUCACCAAGGCAACGAUCAGUAUCCGGCCUGAGAGGGCGGACGGACACACUGGGACUGAGACACGGCCCAGACUCCUACGGGAGGCAGCAGUGGGGAAUUGUUCGCAAUGGGCGCAAGCCUGACGACGCAACGCCGCGUGGAGGAUGAAGACCUUCGGGUCGUAAACUC